rnacentral:rRNA from 1 species
UACAGAGGGUGCAAGCGUUGUUCGGAAUUAUUGGGCGUAAAGCGCGUGUAGGCGGCUUCGUAAGUCGGGUGUGAAAUCCCUCAGCUCAACUGAGGAAGGCGCCCGAAACUGCAGAGCUUGAGUACCGGAGAGGAUGGUGGAAUUCCCCAAGUAGAGGUGAAAUUCGUAGAUAUGGGGAGGAACACCGUGGCGAGGCGGCGACCAUCUGGACGGAUACUGACGCUGAGACGCGAAAGCGUGGGUAGCAAACAGG